AACGCGAAGAACCUUACCUGGGCUUGAACUACUCGUGGUAAGCCGAUAGAAAUAUUGGCUGACCCGCAAGGGAGCGAGCAGAGGUGCUGCAUGGUUGUCGUCAGCUCGUGUCGUGAGAUGUUGGGUUAAGUCCCGCAACGAGCGCAACCCCUACUCGAUGUUGCUAAUCUCGCAAGGGAUGCACUCUUCGAGAACUGCCUUCGAUAAGAAGGAGGAAGGUGGGGACGACGUCAAAUCCUCAUGGCCCUUAUGUCCAGGGCUACACACGUGCUACAAUGGCCGGUACAACGGGAAGCAAUACCGUAAGGUGGAGCCAAACCCUGAAAGCCGGCCCCAGUUCAGAUUGUGGGCUGCAACUCGCCCACAUGAAGGCGGAAUCGCUAGUAAUCGCGAAUCAGCAGGUCGCGGUGAAUACGUUCCCGGGCCUUGUA
rnacentral:rRNA from 1 species